UUAUAGUUCACUGUCCAUUGAGAAGAUUGGUUUGAAGUAUAGGAUUGUGUCGGCAGAGGGCAAACCACUGCACCUAAUCACGGGACAAUUUACUAUGGCCGAUUAACCCACUAACUGGUACGUCAUUGGACUGUGGGAGGAAACCCGAGCGUUCGGAGCAAACUCUCAAGGUCACGGGGAGGACAUACAAAUUCCGUACAGACAAUGAUGGGAACUGAACCUGGGUCACUGAUGCAGUAGAGCACUGUGCUACCAAGCCGUCCUUCCGUCGUCAGAUUUCCAAAAGUACUGCUGGCAGAAAAAAAAACAACAAAUUUCACGUUAUAUAAGACUGAUUCGGAUUCUCUUGCAA